GACGAACGCUGGCGGCGUGCUUAACACAUGCAAGUCGAACGGAAAGGCCCUUCUUUUGUGGGGUGCUCGAGUGGCGAACGGGUGAGUAACACGUGAGUAACCUGCCCUUGACUUUGGGAUAACUUCAGGAAACUUGGGCUAAUACCGGAUAGGAGCUCCUGCUGCAUGGUGGGGGUUGGAAAGUUUCGGCGGUUGGGGAUGGACUCGCGGCUUAUCAACUUGUUGGUGGGGUAGUGGCUUACCAAGGCUUUGACGGGUAGCCGGCCUGAGAGGGUGACCGGCCAAAUUGGGACUGAGAUACGGCCCAGACUCCUACGGGAGGCAGCAGUGGGGAAUAUUGCACAAUGGGCGGAAGCCUGAUGCAGCAACGCCGCGUGCGGGAUGACGGCCUUCGGGUUGUAAACCGCUUUCGCCUGUGACGAAGCGUGAGUGACGGUAAUGGGUAAAGAAGCACCGGCUAACUACGUG
rnacentral:rRNA from 1 species